rnacentral:misc_RNA from 1 species
GAUGAAGAACGUAGCGAAAUGCGAUAAGUAAUGUGAAUUGCAGAAUUCAGUGAAUCAUCGAAUCUUUGAACGCACAUUGCGCCCAUUAGUAUUCUAGUGGGCAUGCCUGUUCGAGCGUCAUUAUAACCCCUCAAGCUCAGCUUGGUGUUGGGGCCUGCUGCACUGGCAGCCCUUAAAAUCAGUGGCGGCGCCAUCUGGCUCUAAGCGUAGUAAUUCUUCUCGCUAUGGAGUCCUGGUGGAUGCUUGCCAUCAACCCCCAAUUUUUCUAUGGUUGACCUCGGAUCAGGUAGGGAUACCCGCUGAACUUAAGCAUAUCAAUAAGCGGAGGA